CUCUAAAAUUCAUAUUAAAAUUGAGAUUAAUUAAUAAAUAAUUGAUAUUUAAUUCCAAAAAUAUUUUACAUUGCAUUGGCAGUUCGUCACUAAUACAGCUAAUUCGUGAGCACAAGUAACGAAUGCACUUACGUGCGAGUACAUAUGCACAUAUAUACGAGUAUGUACGAUUAUCAAACAGUCUAAUCGGUAUUUUUAACUACUAAAGCGAUAGUUAUAACCUUCAAUCAUUAUCAUUAUCACCGGAUUUUCUUCAAAAAAUCAAAGCAAUCUAAAUAAAGAAUCAAGCACUAACAAAAAAAACAACGGGUAUUUGUUAUUAUGAAACUCAACUAACUACUUUUCAGCGUCGGCACACAACAAACGUCCAAUUUAUAAUGACAGUUAUAUGUCGUUGUAUUGUUGUUCGGUGCAGCUCGGGUACUAAUGCGUUUUUAUAGCAGCGGAGAGAAUGUAGUAAUAAACGAGUACCACCGGAGACAAGAAUGUAGCGACGCUCAUGUUGUUGUAUUGCUGAGUUAACUUGUUGUCAGCAAAAAUACUGCUGUAUUAAUUUCUACAUGAACGAUAUCGACUUCAAAUGAGUCAACGAAUUUUCGUGCUAAUUCGUUACUACACAUACUCGCUGGCAAACUGCGAGCGCAUAUGUACAUAAGUAGUGGUGAAGCACGACAACAAAACGGAAGAGAAAACUAACGAAAUUUUAUCAAAUAAUGUAACGAGUAAAUUUUUUAUGGUAAUAUGUUGCGUUAAAUUGUAUAGAUUUUACUACCGCAUGGCAUUUGAAGUGUUAAGGGUUGCCAACGAUUGAAAAUGAUUAUGCUUUAAAAUAUGUUAUACUAAUUUUUGUUAUAAAUUAUACAAAAGCAUGUAAAAUUAGUUUAAAAACAAUUAAAAUAAAAAAAAUUAUUUGCAGAAAAUCAAUUUCGCUCAAUCAGCAUAUGCAGAGUUGCCAUGUUACUUGCCAAUCAAGUAAGCUCUCUUCCGCAGCUACCUUACACACUACGCUACUAAGCAGUUUUGUGUGCUUUUUACAUUGUUGUUGUUAUUAUCGUAUGGGCUGCUCAAUACAAAAUGUCGCUCAUAUAUGUAGAUAUGUAUGUCAAAUAUAUAUGUAUGUAUCAGCACAUACUAAUUCGUAUAUUAACUAAAAGUUGCUCCUGAGUAUAAGGCACAGUGGGCCAUUUUGAAAUUUAACUACUCAUUUAGUGCACUCAAAAGCAGUUGAGUAUAGAUAUACUUAUAUACAUUUAUACUUAUAUGUCUUUUUAAAUAAUUUCAUAAUUCUCUCUCUGGCUCGUCGAUUUUAUAGCUUUAAAAACGCGACUAAGUUUGCUUUAAAUUGGGAUCUGAACAGAAUAUUGCCGGAAAAACAGGGAUUGUUUAGACUUCGGGAUCUAAGCACCAUUUUACACAUUGUGUUAAAAAAGUAACGAGAAUUGUAAAAUUUCAAGAGUUUGGAGAGUCAAAUUCUCCAAUUUUUUUAUUAUGUUGAUAAUUACAAAUCCCCCUGAUUGCUUUCUUUGUCUAUGGCUACAGCGUGUAGACGUUUUUUUAUGAGUUUGGCGAUUUUAAUUUGUUAACAACUGAAACUCAACUUGUUCAUGAAUUCUUGGCAAAAAACGAUACUGCAACGAUGCCAACCU